UAAAGUUGCAAUUUUAUUAGUUUCAAUAUAAAACCAUCCUCACUAUCAAGAUAACAAACAUCCCUCACACCCAGAAACUUCCACAUGCACGUUAACAAUCAUCUACUUCCUCCUAUCUUUCUCUCCUCGGGCAACCAGUGAUUCACUUCCUGUCACUAUGAGUCAGUUUAUAUUUUCCAGAAUUUGACUUUUAUAGGGAAUGUAUGUAUUCUUUUCUUCUUCUUUCACUCAUCACAGUUAUUCUAAGAUUCAUUCCUAUUAUUUCAUGUGUCAAUAGUUCAUCCGUUUUUAUUGCUGACUGAUAUUUCAUUACACAGGUAUGCCACAAUAUGGUUAUCUAUUUAAGCUUAUGGAUAUUUGGAUACAUAAGGGAGAGGUCUGAGCAUUAGCACCCAGGACAAACUGCUGCUCCCAAGACUGGAGAGACAGAAGAAUAUGGGGUUUAUGUGCUACAGGGGAGCAUGCUGGUGGUAACCCCUGAGGAUUGAGAGUGCUCUAGACUGGCAGACAGGCCUGUUCUAUCUACCGUCUUCAUUCUCCUGAUCAGGAUGUCACCAGCUGCCAUUGGGUCCUUGAAACAUAGCUGCUGAUAUUCUGGGCCAUACCCCAUGGCUUGGGGUGUGGGGAGCUGUGGGAGAGUCCCACUGAAUGCCUCAAGGGCUCCCUUUAAAUCUAUUCUACUGGUGGUGUGUCCUCUAGGCAGCCCUCAGCCCUCGCUUUGCCGAAGUUUCUGCUUUUAGUCCGAUAAGGAAGUUCUCGUGCUCUGCUUUCUGAAUUUCUUGAUUCCUGUUGGAUUCCUAUUUCAGCUCAAAAGACGUGUUGUGCCAAAGUGACAUAUUUUGGGUUGACAUACUUUGAUUUCCCACAAAUUCUCAAAGCUUUUGCAAAUUUUCUUUUGGCCAAUUCUGAUUCAGAAACAAACAGGGAAGAGGAUUCUGGGGAAAGUAGUUUUAGCUUAGUCAAGUUGGCAAACUACAAAUCCAUCAGAGUAGAACUUUAUAGGACAGGAGAUUUUAGGAAAUGCAGUUCCACAUUAGCUAUGUGGGCAAGUUACAAAACCAUCAUAUUCUACCACUUGCUAACCUGGCAUUAAUCAUACCUUCCACCCCACACCCAUCUCUAGCUAUACUAGGAAUUGAAUCCAGGAUCAAAUGUACAGAGUUACAUCCCCAGCCUCACCACCCCCAUUUUAAAUUUUGAGACCCGGUCUUAACUAAGUUGCCCAGGCUGAUCUCAAACUUGUGAUCUUCCUGCUUCAGCCUCCCUAGUCAUUGGGAUCACCGGCACACACCACCACAUGGCCAAUCACAUCUCUUUUAAAGCCAUGUUUAAUUUCCAAACAAGAC
rnacentral:lncRNA from 1 species